CCUACGGGUGGCAGCAGUGGGGGAUAUUGCACAAUGGGGGAAACCCUGAUGCAGCGACGCCGCGUGUGGGAAGACUGUCCUCUGGAUUGUAAACCACUGUCCCCAGGGACGAAAAUGACGGUACCUGGGGAGGAAGCUCCGGCUAACUACGUGCCAGCAGCCGCGGUAAUACGUAGGGAGCGAGCGUUGUCCGGAAUUACUGGGGGAAAGGGGAGCGUAGGCGGGGAUGCAAGUUGGGGGGAAAAACUACCGGCUCAACUGGUAGUCGCACUCAAAACUGCAGCUCUUGAGUGAAGGAGAGGCAGGCGGAAUUCCUAGUGUAGCGGUGAAAUGCGUAGAUAUUAGGAGGAACACCAGUGGCGAAGGCGGCCUGCUGGGCUUUUACUGACGCUGAGGCUCGAAAGUGUGGGGAGCAAACAGGAUUAGAUACCCGGGUAGUC
rnacentral:rRNA from 1 species